GAAGGAUCAUUACCGAAAUGCAGCGGGGUUCCGGCCCUGCGUACGCAUUCCACCCACCCUUGACUUUGAGCACCUAUUCUUUCCUCGGCGGGGACGCUCGCCAGCGAGGACUACCCAAAAACCUUUGCAGUAGCAGUAUUUGUCUGAACAAAACCUAAACUAUUAAAACUUUCAACAAUGGAUCUCUUGGUUCUGGCAUCGAUGAAGAACGCAGCGAAAUGCGAUAAGUAGUGUGAAUUGCAGAAUUUAGUGAAUCAUCGAAUCUUUGAACGCACAUUGCGCCCCUAGGUAUUCCUUGGGGCAUGCCUGUUCGAGCGUCAUUUCAACCCUCAAGCCCAGCUUGGUAUUUGGGUGCUUGUCCUGCCCCUGCAGCGACUCACCUCAAACUCAUUGGCAGCCCGCAUCCGUCGGCCGUGAGCGCAGCACAAACGCGCUCGAGGCACGGGCGGAUCGGCUCUCCAGAAGCUACCACCCCAUGUUGACCUCGGAUCAGGUAGGGAUACCCGCUGAACUUAAGCAUAUCAAUAA
rnacentral:rRNA from 1 species